rnacentral:rRNA from 1 species
GAUGAACGCUGGCGGCGUGCCUAAUACAUGCAAGUCGAGCGAACAGACGAGGAGCUUGCUCCUCUGACGUUAGCGGCGGACGGGUGAGUAACACGUGGAUAACCUACCUAUAAGACUGGGAUAACUUCGGGAAACCGGAGCUAAUACCGGAUAAUAUAUUGAACCGCAUGGUUCAAUAGUGAAAGACGGUUUUGCUGUCACUUAUAGAUGGAUCCGCGCCGCAUUAGCUAGUUGGUAAGGUAACGGCUUACCAAGGCAACGAUGCGUAGCCGACCUGAGAGGGUGAUCGGCCACACUGGAACUGAGACUCGGUCCAGACUCCUACGGGAGGCAGCAGUAGGGAAUCUUCCGCAAUGGGCGAAAGCCUGACGUAGCAACGCCGCGUGAGUGAUGAAGGUCUUCGGAUCGUAAAACUCUGUUAUUAGGGAAGAACAAAUGUGUAAGUAACUAUGCACGUCUUGACGGUACCUAAUCAGAAAGCCACGGCUAACUACGUG